UAGUGAAGUGUUUGGAGCAGCGGACUAUAUGUCCUAGACUAAAUUAUGAAGGAAAACAAAAAGGUAAUCAGCAAACCGAAUUUUGGUCUCAAAAACAUAUUCGAAUAAUGAAUUCAAUACAAAACAGAAGCAAACUGGAUGAUGUGAAGAAAUGUCAAGCUAACAAUAAUCGCAAAUGAAAUUGUAGAAAUUGGAAACCGAAAUACCCAUUUUGCUAAAAAAAUUGCAGAAAUUGCUAAACGCCCACCAAAUUCACAGAUAAAUUGGUUAAAAAAAAAAGAAAAAAAGAAAAGAAAACCGCAUUCCAAGACAACAGCAUAAAUUCCAAUCACCAUUAGCAGAAAUUGCAAAUCUUUUGAGGGUUAGAGCAAGUACCAAAGAGCGAAACCGAAAUCAAGCAGCAAGAGAAUAAAAAAUUGGGGACUUUCACAUCUGUGAAAUACAAAAUCUAUGAUUUCGUAAACAUCAACAAUUAUCUGCGACUUGAGUUUCAGUGGUCGGUGGGAUGGUCUAGGCGAGGUCGUCCGGCAGGAUGAAAACGCGAGAGGAGUCGAUCAGCCGACGCGGCGGGGAAUGGUGGCUGAGGUCGAAGGGGUCAAGCAGACGAGGACGCGAGAAAGGAGUCGAUCAGACGACGAUGCGGCGGAGAGUGGUGGCUGACGCCGGAGGGGUCAAGCAGAUGCGGACAUGAUAUAGGAGUCGUUCAGACGACGCCGAGAGAGAGAGGAAUCGAGCGUAUAAGGACGAGAGAGAGCACGGUCUUAGCAAUCCCAUAGGUUUCGGGGGGACUCAAGUACAAAAAUAAGGAGAAAGAGAAACCAUUCGAAUUAGAGCACGAAAUUGGAAGCCUGGAAUGAAGCGGAGGGGAAGGAUUCGCAGUGUGAAGGCACUGAAGGGGAAGGAUUCGCGAUUCGGUUGCAGUGUGAAGACUGAAGAGGAAGGGUUUGGAUUUGCUGCUGUGAACUGUGAACACACAAGAGUGAAGGGGAAGACUGAACACACAGCAGUGAUAAUUAUAUAAUUGUCACUCAAUUCUAC
rnacentral:lncRNA from 1 species